UACGUAGGGGCCGAGCGUUGUCCGGAGUUACUGGGCGUAAAGCGCGCGCAGGCGGCGCAUCGCGCCCGGCGUGAAAGCCCCCGGCUCAACCGGGGAGGUCGUCGGGGACGGUGCGCUUGAGGACGGCAGGGGCAGGUGGAAUUCCCGGUGUAGCGGUGGAAAUGCGUAGAGAUCGGGAGAACACCGUGGCGAGGACGGCCGGCCUGGCCGAUGCCUG
rnacentral:rRNA from 1 species